rnacentral:lncRNA from 1 species
UCCGCUCGCCCCGGGAGGGAGCCCGCGGCCAGGGCUGGACUCUCGCCCCGCCACCUCCACCGACUCUCUCCUCAGCCUCCGCGCCUGGCACCGCAGCAAGACUUGAAUGAAGUGAUCAUGUAAACUAGAGAAAGGAGAUUAAAAAUAACCUCUGGAUAUUCCUCUCAUGUGAUCUUUAUUCUGGAUGAAGCAUUAGGACAGCUAAUAGCCGUGUGUCACUUAAAAAUCCAACUUGAGAACUGUCACCAAAGAUGUCUAGGAACUUUGAAGAAACAUGAAGAGAACCAACUUUGCACCCACAAGAGAGAAAAAGGCAAAUAAAUAAUAUUAUAUUUUGGAAGAGUCUUACAAAAUGAUUCAUAAUUAAUUUGCAGUAUACUAUUCUAAAAUUCUUUUGUAAGAGAUUAAAGAAAUAUGUACACAUUAGAAAACUAUAAUUAGUACUCCUAAUGGAAAUCAAUUUUCAUUUACAAAAUAGCUUUAAAAAUUUACAAAUACAAUGUUAAUUCACUCCUGCUUGCCCAACAAGGGGAGUUCUUGAUGGAGUGAAAAAGAGCCUAAAUCUUGAGCACUUACUGGGUACAGGGCACUGUCAUGUGUGUUUCACGUGUAUUGCCGAAUGUGAUACUUACAAAAACCAUAUCAGGUGGGUGUGGUAAUUAUCAUGAUGCCCAUUUUGCAAAUGAAGAAGCUGAGCCACUGAAAUGUUCAACAAAUGUGCCUCCAGGAUACACAGGUUGAUUUUCCGUUUCAGGAUUUGGACUCAUAUACUGGCCCCAAUGUCUGCUAUGUUCUCUUUUGGUAAACAUGCAGGAAAUGGAAUGAAAUAUGUUGUCUUUAGUAUAACAGAAUCUUUAAUUUGUAGCUCUAUUUGAACUUUCUUAGCUGAAGUGUCCUCAACAAAGUCAUAUAUGUAGUCACUAAUCACUAUGAAAAUGACAAUAUAAGAAGUAAAAUUAUAUGUAUACCAUUCAAAGAGAUCUGAAAAUUGAAUUAACUGAGCAUUUUUGUAGCAUGAAUCUUUGAUUAGAAAAUAUUGGAGCCCAUUUGCAACAUUUUAGGUUGCUACAUAUAAUGUUUUAUAUGAAAUAAUAUAAUCAACUUAUUUAUAGAAGUGUAGAUGAUUUUAGUUCUUUUCCUAUCAUUAUUCAGACAGAGUUUGAUAGCUUAGCAGACUCGUGUUGUAUGUGUAUAUGUUAGGGAGGACAGGUUUGCAAUUGAAGCUGAUUGUUUGCCCAAACACCAUCUGGCCUACCCAUUUAUAAUAUGUCAAAUGAGACUGCCCAAGGUAUGAGAAAAAUCUUAAUUUCACAUUUAUUCAGGUCAUAUUGGCCACAGCUCAAACUGCACUAUUAUAUUGUUUGCAUUUUCAUCACCACCCGGUUUUUUUUUUAAUUUUUUUCUGAAUUCUCUUGAAUGCUUUACUGAUUUUCACUACCUUCCUUUUAAUUAUUUCAGAAACCUACUAUUAAAGAUUUUCACUCACUGUUGAUCAUAACGUUAAUCAUCUUGUUACAAUAUAGACUAUUAUAAGCUUUAGUAAAAUAACUUAAAUAUUUUAAAACCCAAAUAUCUUUGGAUGGACUUUGUGUAUAUUAAAUUCUUGUCUAUUAUAGCAAAGUUUCAAUAUGCAUAAACAUAUACAUAUAAGUAAAUAUUUUAUAAUGUAUCACUGGCUCUUGUAAAGAUAGUUAUUCAUGCUCAAUAUCAACAUUUUGAAAAAUGUAGCUAUUAAUAAAUAUUUAUGCACAAACUUAGAUUUUUAACUGAAAGUUAAUGGCUAGGAUUUUUAAGUAACUGUCCAAAUAAUUAAAUAGAAGGAAUAAAAUAAACAUUUCACUUUGCAUUAGACACUUCUGCUAGAACAUGUUUUAUAAGAAUUAAAUGUUGAGGAAUUUUAAAAACUACAUUAGAUUUUAAAUCACCUUAAUAGUCCUACACUGAUUUCUACUGUUUUAGUUGGAAGAAUGAUCAGAAAUAGUAUCCAGGGGAAAUGUAUUUUGUAAAAAUACUGUAGUUUAAUAAUAUGAUAAGAAGGCAACUUCUGAGUAUAUCCUCUGAUUAAUUCAAUGCCAAAAUAUAUGGGGAAGAUAGUUUUCAAUGUAAAUACUGAUUCCUGUUUAGAAAAUAAAAACAGCAUAUUAUUAAUUUAGAUUAACAUAAUUAAUAUAACACUUAUUUCCCAAAAUGUUAUAUUUCUUUGGGUAGCCCCUUAAUUAUUAGUCAAACAAGAAACCUCCAACAGAAGUAUUUCAGAAAAUAUCAUGGCAUUUAAAAAUAUGAAUGUUCAUAAUUUCCUUAAUAGUUUACAUUUUUAACCCCUUUAAAAUGCUAAUUUCAUGAUCUUUAUUGCUGAUUUAUGAAAAUAUCACUAUUCAUUAGUAAAAUAUGUAUUUUUAAAUUAAAAUUUGAAUCUGAAAGAGCAAGGAAGACUUAAUUGGAAGAUGCAUAGAAUUUGUGAGGUCUUUUCAGAAUAUCUUACUGUAUGUAUGUUACAGAACAUAAGCACUGAGUCAAAGCUCAGCGGAGGAAGUUCACGUUAAUAGUGUGCUCUAGGCCGGGCGCAGUGGCUCACACCUGUAAUCCCAGCACUUUGGGAGGCUGAGGCAGGAGGACAACCUGAGGU